UCUUUCAUCUCCAUUGUCGUCUUCUUCCUCGAGCUCUCUCCUCUGUUUACAAUCUCAUCCACAUACUGGCGGACGGUGAUUUUUCAUUUAUAGACAUCGAGACCUCGAUCUCCACCGGAUUUCGCCUUUCUUCGAUUUCUAGGGUUCCAGGAACUUUGAGAUGAUACGCCUCUAACCAUUGAAUGGCUAAGAUGCAAGGGGUUAACAACAUAGAGCUCUUCUUCUAUCUCAAAACCGUUGAAGGCUCUUAUUUUGCAUUCGAAGUAUUUCACUUGUGUUGUCCACUUGUUUUGCAUUCAAAGCUGCUAGAGGGAUAAUCCCUUCGGCCUAUCCGUUCUUUAAAAUGUAGCAGGGUUAGACGACUAUUCUUUAAGUCAUGAAUUCAGGUUAUACCCACAAAUCUAGGGUUCAUAAUUUAGGAACGACCUUCGAUUGUCUCUAUUUCCGACCAAAUCCAAGAAAUUGGGGUAUAUCUUUAAUAGUAAUGAACGAAUUGGUUGUUGGUUUUUGUUUGUGCUCUAUAA